rnacentral:rRNA from 1 species
UACGUAGGGUGCGAGCGUUAAUCGGAAUUACUGGGCGUAAAGCGUGCGCAGGCGGUUCGUGAUGUCUGAUGUGAAAGCCCCGGGCUCAACCUGGGAAUUGCAUUGGAAACUAGCGGGCUGGAGUGUGGCAGAGGGGGGUGGAAUUCCGCGUGUAGCAGUGAAAUGCGUAGAGAUGCGGAGGAACACCGAUGGCGAAGGCAGCCCCCCGGGCUAACACUGACGCUGAGGCACGAAAGCGUGGGGAGCAAACAGG